rnacentral:rRNA from 1 species
CCAGACUCCUACGGGAGGCAGCAGUGAGGAAUAUUGGUCAAUGGCCGAGAGGCUGAACCAGCCAAGUCGCGUGAGGGAAGACGGCCCUAUGGGUUGUAAACCUCUUUUGUCAGGGAGCAAUUGGCGCUACGUGUAGCGUUAUCGAGAGUACCUGAAGAAAAAGCAUCGGCUAACUCCGUGCCAGCAGCCGCGGUAAUACGGAGGAUGCGAGCGUUAUCCGGAUUUAUUGGGUUUAAAGGGUGCGUAGGCGGGCAUUUAAGCCGGCGGUCAAAUGUCGGGGCUCAACCCCGGCCUGCCGUCGGAACUGGGCGCCUUGAGUGGGCGAGAAGUAUGCGGAAUGCGUGGUGUAGCGGUGAAAUGCAUAGAUAUCACGCAGAACCCCGAUUGCGAAGGCAGCAUACCGGCGCCCUACUGACGCUGAGGCACGAAAGUGCGGGGAUCGAACAGGAUUAGAUACCCCAGUACCA